CUUGUAAUAGAAUUCGUUUCUUUCUUUCUUUUUAAUGGUAAUUGGAAAGAUCAGACCCAGGGCUUCACACAUGCUAGACCAGUCAUUUACCUGUGAGCCACAAGCCCUUUGUUUUUGUUUCGUUUUUGCUUUUUUUGAGGCAGAGUCUUGUUGUGUAGUCGAAGCAGACCUCCAACUUGUGAUCUUCUUGUCUCAGCCUCCGUGGUGCUGGGAUUACAGGUGGUAGUAGCACAUGUACAUUCAAAUCACUUUCUUAUUCAUGUCUGUGACCUAGGAGCUUCACUCUUGCCUGUAUCAUUCUCAGGUCCAGAUCAUCACCAGUCACCAGUUUCUACUCAUACUAGAAAUGGGAAGGAGGAGAAUCUGUUGGCAAGAAGCAGGUGUAGGCCAUCUUUCUUCAAGCUUCCCUCAUGGAGAACACAAGUCCAAAGAGACUUCUAACACAAGUGAAACUAAGGCAAAGGAGAUGAAUGCGUGCUAAGUAGGGCGUCUGUCUGUCCUUUCAGUCUUUGCCCCUACAGUCUCCCAACUCAGCGAGCAUCAUCUCUGUGUGCAGGAUUUGUAGAUUUCUUUAUUUUCUUGAAGAUUUUUGUCUGACCAAGAUGCACCAUCUUUCAUACUUUACCAGAAAAACUCUUGAUAAAUAUCUUUAUUCAUCUGGCAGCUUUAAAGGCUCGCUGUCAUGAAAAAGUGCUAGAGAAAACAGGAUAAAACAGGUGUUCUCAAUUCCUUCCAACGUGCAUCGCCCUGCUGACAAACUACUGACAUGUCGCUAUCCCCUGUUUCUGGAGGAUUCUGGGGAAGCCUCAGUUUUCGGCCUUUAGUGCCUUGGUAAUAUUCCAGUGUUUCUACCAUGCUGAUCACAGGCAGAGUGAGGAGGGAGUGUGUGUGUUAUCAGCACUGAUACCAACCUGCUGUGUGCUGGAGUGUCACUUGCCUCUGACUCCUUCCUGGGGGUUCUUCCCAGCAGGCAACACGAGCAUCCACCCCUUGGGAUCACAUUAUCUGUUUUAGUUUAGGGUACUGUUUUUAACCCAAUCCCUGAACAUCUGCUAAAAUGUUUUUGCAGUUGUUGCUUGCGGUGAAACUUUUCUUCUGUAUACGUUUAGCUUAUGCCACUAGGUGGCACUUUAGGGACAUUGCAGGAAAUUGGCACAACUGGAUUUAUGUUUUAAAGUUUUUGACAUAUAAUAAAGAAAUAUCAAAAGAUCUACAUUGAGUGUACAACUCAAUCAAUUUUGAAAAGGAGAAUACACACAUGUAAUAUACACACAAAUCAAGAAGUGGAAUAUAAUCAACACUUCAGAAGUAUCCUCCACCCCAUGCUGUUUUGAUAUACUUAUGUCCUUAGGAUUAACAUUGUUGUGACUUCUAGCAGCAUAGAUUACCUCUAUGUUUUCUACUUGUAUAAGUUGAGUUGUGUUCUGUUUAUUUUUGUCUGGCUGCUAUUGCUUAAGUGAUUUUUGAAAUAACAUAUAUGAUCAUUGCUGUAUAGUAUUCUACUAUAUAUGCAAAUAUUGUAGCUUGCUCUUGUUGAUGGAUAUUGGGAAGUUUUCAGAUUUUGGCAAUGAGGAGUAGUGCAACUCUGUACCACCGUGUCUAAGCUGUUGAGUGGAUCUAUUUUUAUUUUGGAGGGUAUAAAGCAUAGAAUGUUCUGGGUUAUAAAAUGUUCAUAUGUGUAUCUUCAGCUUUCAUAGAAACUAUAAACAAAUUUACAAGGUACAAUAAUACCUUAUUAGUGGCCCUCCAUUUCCACUUGCUCAUUCUCUUUUUUUUCCAGAUUUAUUUAGUUUUGACUUUUUGAGACAAGGUCUCAGUAUGUAGUUCUGGCUGGCCAGGAACUCGCUGUGUAGAUCAGACUGGCUUUGAACUCACAAAGAUCCAUCUGCAUCUGCCUCCUGAGUGCUAGGAUUAAAGGCAUGCUUCACCAUGCCCAACCAGAUCUAUUUAUUUUAUUUUAUGUAUAUUGAUGUUUCUUGCAUUCAUGUCUGUGCACCAGAUGUGUGCCUGGUGCCUGCAGAGGUCAGAAGAGGAUACUGAGUUCCCUGGAACUAGAGUUAUAGAUAGUUGUGAGCUGCCUGUGUAGGUAUUAGCAGGUCCUCUGCCAGAGCAACAAGUAUUGCUAAUUGCUGAGCUAUCUCACUAGCCCCCUCUUGCACAGUGUCAUAGGUGCUAACUUAUUUUAUAGCUGCAUCCCAAUUCUUAGAUAGUUUUCUCUCUUCUUCUUUUUCACUUUCCUUUUUUGGAGUUCCUUGUUGGCAAGCUAUUUUUAACUGAUAUUUUAAAGCCAUAUUUCUCUCAUAGAUAAAGUUCAUCCAGAAAGGCUUUGUCAACCACUCUUUGGACAUUUGUAAUAGCUUGACUGUGAACUAAAAGUAGUUUGAAAAGAUACUAUUCUACUACUCCAUCACUCAGAGACAGCAAUGGGGAGAAGCAAAGAAGUUUUUUCAAGACCUCAUCAUGAGAUGCCUUUGAAUUGCGGGCCUGUUUGGACAGGCAAGAAAGAGAAUUGCAUAAGGCAUCCUUAUUCAACUUACUCCUGGGGAACUCAACUCUCAGAAGAAGUCUGCCAUAGACAACUGUGUCUCUGGGGAGCAUACUGUGUAUUCUACUGUAGGUGCGUGAUAGAAUGAUGUGUGGAUUCAGCUCAGACCUCUGUCCUGUGAAUAGAAAUUGU
rnacentral:lncRNA from 1 species